rnacentral:lncRNA from 1 species
AUUCAGUGGUGGACAUGCUCAAGCAGGGUGCGCCCAGGCCUGGGACUAGGAGAGUAGGUUGGAGUCCCAGCUCUUCUAACUUGCUGUGUGUGUCUGACAAACUCUUCUCUGAGCCUGAAUCUCAAAGAGGAAGACACAUCCUUACUCAGCAAUUUGAAACUGGGGUGAUGUGCAUGAAUUAACAUGGAGAGAUCCCCAAGACAUUCUUUCAGAAUCGCAGAGUACAUUCCUUUUUAAAAUAAUAACAUGGUUUUGUGUUUACCUCUACAUGUAUGUAAAUGCGUAGAUAAAAGUCUGGAAGCUAAACAGCCAACAAGAAGCAGAGGUUGUCACUGAAGAGGAAAGGAACAUUGGAAUUGGUGGUGGGGAAGUGUUUUUCUAUGUUUUUUUUUUUCUUUCUUUCUUUUUACUUUAAAUUCUGGGAUACAUUUGCAGAACGUGCAGGUUUGUUGCAUAGGUAUACAUGUGCCGUGGUGGUUUGCUGCACCCAUCAACCUGUCAUCUAGGUUUUAAGCCCCACAUGCAUUAGGUAUUUGUCCUAAUGCUCUCCCUCCCCUUUCCCCCCAUCCCCCAACAGGCCCUGGUGUGUGAUGUUUCUCUCGCUGUUUUUUUCUUUCUUAACUAGAAUGCAUUGUUUUUAUUUAUGGAACUAAAAUAAUGAUAAUAAAUGAGGGAAUUGGAAUAUAUGGUUAUCAAGUGUUGCUCCUUCUGAACAUUUUAUUAUGAAAAUGUCCAAAUACACAGCAAAAUUUAAAGACUUUGGCGACAAAAUACCUACUCUCACCACUUACAUUCUACCAUUGACAUUUUACUUGCUUUAACCAUGUUUGUUCAUCUAUCUGUCUAUCAAUUCAUCUUUUAAGAUGCAUUUUAAAGAAAUUACCUCAACACACAUAUUAUUAACUGGAGUUCAAUUUCAAUAUUUGUUUACAGUAAUUUUCUUUUAAUGUAAAUUUACAGGCAAAGGGCAAAAGAUUACGUGUUCAUUUGCUGAGUUUUUACAAAUGCAUAUAUAUUUAUGUAACUUAAACCCCAUUAGGAGAUACAUUUUUAUCACUCUAGAAAGUUCCCUCUUGUCCUACUAUAUAUAUAUAUAUAUACACACACACAUUUUUGUUUUUGAGAGCAGGUCUCGCUAUGCUGCCCAGGCUGGCCUUGAACUCCUGAUUUCAGGUGAUCCUCCCACCCCAGCCUCCCAAGUAGCUGGGACUACAGGCCUCUAUGGUGUAUUUUAAUUGCUGACAUCCUAUGGGUCAACACUAAGCACAGAGCCAGGUAUAUAGUAAAUGCUCAAUAAUGUUGGUUGAAGUAAGGAAUGAGUCUAGGAAUGAAUGUGCAGGUGGCUUGCUCCCCUAAGGGCAGGACCAUGUCUUCUUCUUUUGCAAUCACCAUGGAAUUGAUACACAUCAAAUGCUUAAUAAAGGCUUAUUGAUUGUGCCUGGGCAGGGUGGCUCACACCUGUAAUCCUAGCACUUUGGGAGUCUGAGGUGGGAGGAUUGCUUGAGCCCAGGAGUUUGAGACCGACCUACACAACAAAGUGAGACCCCAUCUGUACAAAAAUAAUAAUAAUAAUUUAAAAAUUAGCCAAGCAUGGUGAUGCAUGCCUAUUGUCCCAUCUACAUGGGUGGCUAAGGCAGGAGGAUUGCUUGAGCCCAGGAGGUCGAGGUAACAGUGAGUUGUGUUCACCCCAUUGCACUCCAGCCUGGAUGACAGCACGAGAUGGUCUCAAAAACAAAAACAAAACAACAACAAUGACAAAAAAACAAAACAACAACAAACAAAAACAAAAACAAACCUUUGGUGAUUGUAUUAGUUAUAUACUGCCGUGUAACAGAUUACCCAAAAUUUAGCAACUUAAAACUGUGUAAUUAUACAGAAGAAGCAGGAUUGAGAUUUAAAAAAUUGUAACUAUUAAAAAAAAUAAAGACAGGGUCUCACUAUGUCGCCCAGGCUGGUCGGGAACUCCUGGCCUCAGGCAAUCCUCCCACCUUAGCCUCGCAAACUGCUGGGAUUACAAGUGUGAGCCACUGCACCUGGCCAACAUUUAUUAUCUCACACAGUUUCUGUAGGUCAGAAAUGUGGAACUAACUUAGCUUAGUGGUUUUGGCUUGGGAUCUCUUAUGAGGCUGCAGUCAACGCCUGAUGAGAAGUCAUCUGAAGGCUGGACUGGGGCUGGGGGAUCUGUUUCCAAGAUAGUUCACUCAUAUGAUUGUUGGCAGGAGGCUCUGUGCUUGGUGCUGUGCUGAGCUCCAGGGAAUGUAGGAAUGAGUCAGAACCAGCCUCCCUUUCCAAGAUUCUGUGUGUGUGUGUGUGUGUGCGUGUGUGUGUGUGUGUGCAUGUGUGUGUGUGUGUGUAAGCGUGAGUGUUGAGAGUAGGCGUGGGGUUGGAGGGGUCAGACAGAUAUGGAAACAGAUAGUGUCUAUAGAGUUCAGUAAAUACCACAAUACUGGAAUAGUGGUUUUUGAAAAAAUUGCUCUGCUGUAAUUCAUAUUCAUGACAUAACAUUUAGGACACAUCAUGCAGAGAAAGUCUCCUUCCCUCUUUAUUCUAUAGCCACACACUCCUCCAGCUCAGAAGCACAACUAUAACUUGUUUUGUGUACCUUCCAGAACUAUUCUAUACUUAAAAGACAUUUCCCGCCUCCUUAAACAAAAAUACAGCACUAUUCAAAGUGCAUUGUUCUGUACUUUGCUUUUUUUUUUUUUUUUCACUUACUCUAUCUUGGAAAUAAUUCUGUAUCGGUGCACAGAGCUACCUAGUUCUUAUUUAUGGCUGCAUGGUAUUUUAUUGCCUGCAUGAGCCACAGUUCAUUUAACCAGACCCCUAUCACUGAACAUUUGGUUUAUUUCCAAACUCUUGUUAUUAGAGACAAAGCUGCAAUGACUUUCCUUGCACAUUGGUUUCCACUCGUGUGGGUAUAAAUGCCGGAGAAAUUCUUGGCAGUGGAAUUGUUGCAUCAAAGGGCUCCUGCAUCCUGGUAGAUAUUGCUCAGUAGGGUUUAUACCAACUUGCUCUCCCACCAGGAAUGUGUGAGAGUGUCUGUUUCCUCACACCUACACCCACAUAGUGAGUGAUCACACUUUUCCAAACUUUGCCAAUCUCUUAAUUGAAAAAUGGUUGCUCGGUGUUGUGUUAAUUUGCAUUUAUCUUAUGAGUGAGGUUGAACAUCUUGUCACACGUUUUAGAGUCGUUUGUAUUUUCUGUGAACUGUCUGUAUAAAUAAUUUGCCUAUUUUUCUAUUAGGCUGUUGGUCUUAUUUACUUGUAGGUCUUUACACAUCAAACGCACUCCCCCUUUGUCUGCAUGAUAGGCUUUGAAAAUAUUUUUUUUGAGAACAGUCUGCUUUUAGAUAUAAAUGAGAAGUUGAGAAGUUUCUGCAGAUUGCAUCAUUUUCUGCACGUUGCUGCAGGGCUGCCCAGUGGCUGAGGCAUCAGGGAUACCGUGUAGGGCUCUUAAAGGUGAUGUUAGAAGCCAGGUGGGGGGCCCUGGGGACGGCGGGCAGGGAGUGGGGGGACAAGGAGGUGGAUGUUAGCUCUUGCAUUGGAUAGAAGGGGCUGCCAUAGGAGACAGUGAACUCCCCAAGGUAGGAAGUGGGCAGAACAGGCUGGCCUGGCUUUAAGACCCCUCUGCCCCUGCUCUGAAAUACCUGAGGAUAAGCAACAAGUCAAGUGGGAGGACCCACCAAGAGGGCCAUCAAUUUCUGGCCAUUUAGACCUGAUUGGGUCGUUACUGCAUCUGGAAGCUCCUAGUAACAUUUAAUAGUAAUAUAAACUCCUAGAAUGUAAACUCCAAGAGGCCAGGGUUUAAAUGCUAAAUAAAUGGUUGUGGAAUGAAUGAAUGAAUGAACGAAUGAAUUUGGUCAAAGAAUGUGAGGGGCUACUAUUUCUGAGUGGGGGUGGGGGUAGGCAGAGUUCUCUUUCUCUUCUUUCCUCUUUGAACCUACUCUCUCCUCUUCCUUCCUCUUACCCCAGCUCAGUCAGGUCUUACCAUCUCUCAUGUGGUCCUGGUUCCAGCCUCCUCCCCACUUCCCUGCUUCCAGACGCUCCUCUGUUUUCCUAUUGAUCCUCCUCUCCAGCAGCUUGAUUCGCUUCAAGAAAAUGCAGGUCCCCUGGCUUGUUCCCAGGUGGGGCACCUUUGUUCACGCCUGUAAUCUCAGCACUUUGGGAGGCUCAGGCGGGUGGAUCCCUUGAGCUCAGGAGUUCAAGACCAUCCUGGGCAACAUAAAGAGAGCACGUCUCUACAAAAAAAAUUUAGAAAUAGCCAGGCCUGGUGGCGCACACCUGUAAUUCUGCUACUUUGAAGGCUGAG